ACUAAAGAGAAAAUGAAUGAAGUUUUGAAAAUUGUCUAUAUCUCAAAGAUAGGUAGAUUUUAAAUUAUUAUGACUAUCUUUCUAAGAAAUUUCAUCUUUUAUCUGUGCAUAGUUAGAAACUAUUUCUCACCUUUCCCAUUCCUAUUUCUUCCAUGCAAUCUAUAUUUUGGUAAUAAUAUCAAUAGCCCCAUCUUAUAUUUGAGCUUUCCAGUUUUGAUAUGGCCAUCACUUCAUUUGAAGCCAAGGUACUAUGGCUGUGACUAGGAAGGGUAUGGUAGAGUUGUGAUGGAGGACAAUGUGAACACACGUGCAGAACUGUCACCUGUCUUAAGGAGCUUAAUAAAUAUAGGGCUGGCACUACACCCUGGUCUGAAGCGCUGGCAUCCCAUAUGGCCACUGGUUCUAGUCCGGCUGUUCCACUUCCCAUCCAGCUCUCUGCUAUGGCCUGGGAAAGCAGUAGAAUAUGGCCCAAGUCCUUGGGUCCCUGCACCUGCGUGGGAGACCCGGAAGAAGUUCCUGGCUCCUGGCUUCAGAUCAGUGCAGCUCCUGCCAUUGUGGCCAGUUGGGGAGUGAACCAGUGGAUGGAAGACCUCUCUCUUUCUCUGCCUCUCCUCUCUCUGUGUAACUCUGACUUUCAA